ACUUAAUUUGGUUUUUGAGAAAAUUUUUGUUUUUUAUUACAUAGUUGGAAUUAUUAUAAAGAUAUAAUAUUAGUUUUUCUUACCUUUGGUAUAAUGGUUAUACUAAAAUUAUGUAGAAUUAUAUUUCCCGAAUUAAGAAGAACUAUUUAUUAACUUAUUUUGGUAAUUAAAAAAAUUAUGUGGAAAUAUAAUUUAAAGAUUAUUAAAUAGGAGCGAAAAGCUUUCAAUUCUUAAGAUAUCUGGAAGUUUGGGAAAAGCAUUUAGUGCUAACUAGUUAAUCAAGAAGCGAUGAGGUUUCUUGAUAAUAAAAUUUUAGAUCAAUAUCUUAUUCUUAACAAUUAACCCUACAGAGAUUUAGAUUUAAAACCAUUUUUUUCUUAUUAAAUUUAUUUUUUACCUGACUUUUCUAAAUAAUUUUUUUUAGAAAUAAUAAUGUAUAAAUGAGUAGUAGUUAUAAUUAAUUUUAUUAGUUUAUAAAUUUUUUUUAAUAAAUAUAACUUAAAUUAACUAUAAGGAACUCGGCAAAUAUAGACUUCGACUGUUUAACAAAAACAUAGCUUUAGGAAUAGAUCUAAGGUUAUACCUGCCCAAUGUGCAAUUCUAUUAAUGGCCGCGGUACCUUGACCGUGCUAAGGUAGCGCAAUCAGUUGGCUCUUAAUUGGGGUCAGGAAUGAAUGGAGUUACGGAGUUUUACUGUCUCUUAGUUAAUUAUUCUAAAUUACUAUCUAGGUGAAAAAGCCUAAUAAUAGAAAGGGGACGAGAAGACCCUUAGAGUUUGACCUAUAUAAAUUUUAGAAAUUGUGUUUAUAAUGGUUUAGUUGGGGCAACGUAGGAGCAAUAAGGAAAGAGUAAAAUCUCCUAAAUUUUAUUAACCGAUAUUUUUAAAUUUGAAUAAACUACCUUAGGGAUAACAGCAUAAUUUAAUAAAUAAGUUUGUGACCUCGAUGUUGGACUAGGAAAGUUAAAGGCUAGCCGUCUUUAAGGAAAGUUCUGUUCGAACUAUUAUUCCUACAUGAUCUGAGUUCAGACCGGCGUGAGCCAGGUCAGAUUCUAUCUCUUUAUAAUAAAAAUUUAGUACGAAAGGACCAAUUUUUAAUAUAAAUGUUUAUAUAC
rnacentral:rRNA from 1 species